rnacentral:rRNA from 1 species
UUAAGCGACUAAGCGUACACGGUGGAUGCCCUGGCAGUCAGAGGCGAUGAAGGACGUGCUAAUCUGCGAAAAGCGUCGGUAAGGUGAUAUGAACCGUUAUAGCCGGCGAUGUCCGAAUGGGGAAACCCAGUGCAAUUCGUUGCACUAUCGUUAACUGAAUACAUAGGUUAACGAGGCGAACCGGGGGAACUGAAACAUCUAAGUACCCCGAGGAAAAGAAAUCAACCGAGAUUCCCCCAGUAGCGGCGAGCGAACGGGGAGCAGCCCAGAGUCUGAAUCAGCUUGUGUGUUAGUGGAACGGUCUGGAAAGUCCGACGGUACAGGGUGAUAGUCCCGUACACCAAAAUGCACAGGUUGUGAACUCGAAGAGUAGGGCGGGACACGUGGUAUCCUGUCUGAAUAUGGGGGGACCAUCCUCCAAGGCUAAAUACUCCUGACUGACCGAUAGUGAACCAGUACCGUGAGGGAAAGGCGAAAAGAACCCCGGCGAGGGGAGUGAAAAAGAACCUGAAACCGUGUACGUACAAGCAGUGGGAGCACCUUCAGGUGUGACUGCGUACCUUUUGUAUAAUGGGUCAGCGACUUAUAUUCUGUAGCAAGGUUAACCGUAUAGGGGAGCCGCAGGGAAACCGAGUCUUAACUGGGCGUUAAGUUGCAGGGUAUAGACCCGAAACCCGGUGAUCUAGCCAUGGGCAGGUUGAAGGUUGGGUAACACUAACUGGAGGACCGAACCGACUAAUGUUGAAAAAUUAGCGGAUGACUUGUGGCUGGGGGUGAAAGGCCAAUCAAACCGGGAGAUAGCUGGUUCUCCCCGAAAGCUAUUUAGGUAGCGCCUCGUGAACUCAUCUUCGGGGGUAGAGCACUGUUUCGGCUAGGGGGUCAUCCCGACUUACCAACCCGAUGCAAACUACGAAUACCGAAGAAUGUUAUCACGGGAGACACACGGCGGGUGCUAACGUCCGUCGUGAAGAGGGAAACAACCCAGACCGCCAGCUAAGGUCCCAAAGUCAUGGUUAAGUGGGAAACGAUGUGGGAAGGCACAGACAGCCAGGAUGUUGGCUUAGAAGCAGCCAUCAUUUAAAGAAAGCGUAAUAGCUCACUGGUCGAGUCGGCCUGCGCGGAAGAUGUAACGGGGCUAAACCAUGCACCGAAGCUGCGGCAGCGACACUAUGUGUUGUUGGGUAGGGGAGCGUUCUGUAAGCCUGCGAAGGUGUGCUGUGAGGCAUGCUGGAGGUAUCAGAAGUGCGAAUGCUGACAUAAGUAACGAUAAAGCGGGUGAAAAGCCCGCUCGCCGGAAGACCAAGGGUUCCUGUCCAACGUUAAUCGGGGCAGGGUGAGUCGACCCCUAAGGCGAGGCCGAAAGGCGUAGUCGAUGGGAAACAGGUUAAUAUUCCUGUACUUGGUGUUACUGCGAAGGGGGGACGGAGAAGGCUAUGUUAGCCGGGCGACGGUUGUCCCGGUUUAAGCAUGUAGGCUGGUUAUCCAGGCAAAUCCGGAUAAUCAAGGCUGAGGUGUGAUGACGAGGCACUACGGUGCUGAAGUAACAAAUGCCCUGCUUCCAGGAAAAGCCUCUAAGCAUCAGGUAACAUCAAAUCGUACCCCAAACCGACACAGGUGGUCAGGUAGAGAAUACCAAGGCGCUUGAGAGAACUCGGGUGAAGGAACUAGGCAAAAUGGUGCCGUAACUUCGGGAGAAGGCACGCUGGUGUGUAGGUGAAGUCCCUGCGGAUGGAGCUGAGACCAGUCGAAGAUACCAGCUGGCUGCAACUGUUUAUUAAAAACACAGCACUGUGCAAACACGAAAGUGGACGUAUACGGUGUGACGCCUGCCCGGUGCCGGAAGGUUAAUUGAUGGGGUUAUCCGUAAGGAGAAGCUCUUGAUCGAAGCCCCGGUAAACGGCGGCCGUAACUAUAACGGUCCUAAGGUAGCGAAAUUCCUUGUCGGGUAAGUUCCGACCUGCACGAAUGGCGUAAUGAUGGCCAGGCUGUCUCCACCCGAGACUCAGUGAAAUUGAACUCGCUGUGAAGAUGCAGUGUACCCGCGGCAAGACGGAAAGACCCCGUGAACCUUUACUAUAGCUUGACACUGAACAUUGAGCCUUGAUGUGUAGGAUAGGUGGGAGGCUUUGAAGCGUGGACGCCAGUCUGCGUGGAGCCAACCUUGAAAUACCACCCUUUAAUGUUUGAUGUUCUAACGUUGGCCCCUGACCGGGGUUGCGGACAGUGUCUGGUGGGUAGUUUGACUGGGGCGGUCUCCUCCCAAAGCGUAACGGAGGAGCACGAAGGUUAGCUAAUCCUGGUCGGACAUCAGGAGGUUAGUGCAAUGGCAUAAGCUAGCUUGACUGCGAGCGUGACGGCGCGAGCAGGUGCGAAAGCAGGUCAUAGUGAUCCGGUGGUUCUGAAUGGAAGGGCCAUCGCUCAACGGAUAAAAGGUACUCCGGGGAUAACAGGCUGAUACCGCCCAAGAGUUCAUAUCGACGGCGGUGUUUGGCACCUCGAUGUCGGCUCAUCACAUCCUGGGGCUGAAGUAGGUCCCAAGGGUAUGGCUGUUCGCCAUUUAAAGUGGUACGCGAGCUGGGUUUAGAACGUCGUGAGACAGUUCGGUCCCUAUCUGCCGUGGGCGCUGGAGAAUUGAGGGGGGCUGCUCCUAGUACGAGAGGACCGGAGUGGACGCAUCACUGGUGUUCGGGUUGUCAUGCCAAUGGCACUGCCCGGUAGCUAAAUGCGGAAGAGAUAAGUGCUGAAAGCAUCUAAGCACGAAACUUGCCCCGAGAUGAGUUCUCCCUGAGACUUUAAGUCUCCUGAAGGAACGUUAAAGACGAUGACGUUGAUAGGCCGGGUGUGUAAGCGCAGCGAUGCGUUGAGCUAACCGGUACUAAUGAACCGUGAGGCUUAACCUU